rnacentral:rRNA from 1 species
AGCAGCCGCGGUAAUUCCAGCUCCAAUAGCGUAUAUUAAAGUUGUUGCAGUUAAAAAGCUCGUAGUUGAAUUUCGGGGUUAGUAGGUUGGUCAUGCCUCUGGUAUGUACUGGUCUCACUGAUUCCUCCUUCCUGAUGAGCCGUAAUGCCAUUAAUUUGGUGUUGCGGGGAAUUUGGACUGUUACUUUGAAAAAAUUAGAGUGUUUAAAGCAAGCUAACGCUUGAAUACAUUAGCAUGGAAUAAUGAAAUAGGACGUUCGAUCCUAUUUUGUUGGUUUCUAGGAUUGACGUAAUGAUUAAUAGGGAUAGUUGGGGGCAUUAGUAUUCAAUUGUCAGAGGUGAAAUUCUUGGAUUUAUUGAAGACUAACUACUGCGAAAGCAUUUGCCAAGGAUGUUUUCAUUAAUCAAGAACGAAAGUUAGGGGAUCGAAGACGAUCAGAUACCGUCGUAGUCUUAACCAUAAACUAUGCCGACUAGGGAUCGGAUGAUGUUAAUUUU